rnacentral:lncRNA from 1 species
UCGUAGUUUUCCAUUUUAUUUUUCUAAUUGUCUCAUUGUUAAAACAACAGCUUGGGUAAGGGCUUCGUUGUUUACCUUUAUACACAACAACAUAUUAACUAUGUACUUGGUAAAAGUUAUUAAUUAAUUGAAUAGAAAAUAUUAUAACAAAUAUUAUUGGAUGCCGAAUUGACUUCGAAUAGGUGCCGAAUUGACUUCAAAUAGGUUCCGAUUUGACUAGAUGCCGAUUUAACCAGGUGCCGAUUUGAGUUGUACAUUUCAAAUCCUAUGCGAUCGUUUGCGGUAUUUUCU